rnacentral:rRNA from 1 species
AUUGAACGCUGGCGGCAUGCCUUACACAUGCAAGUCGAACGGCAGCACGGGUGCUUGCACCUGGUGGCGAGUGGCGGACGGGUGAGUAAAGCAUCGGAACAUGCCCACUUGUGGGGGAUAACGCACCGAAAGGUGUGCUAAUACCGCAUAAUUCCUGAGGGGGAAAGCAGGGGAUCUUCGGACCUUGCGCAAGUGGAGUGGCCGAUGUCGGAUUAGCUAGUUGGUGAGGUAAAGGCUCACCAAGGCGACGAUCCGUAGCUGGUCUGAGAGGAUGAUCAGCCACACUGGAACGGAGAACGGUCCAGACUCCUACGGGAGGCAGCAGUGGGGAAUUUUGGACAAUGGGGGGAACCCUGAUCCAGCCAUGCCGCGUGAGUGAAGAAGGCCUUCGGGUUGUAAAGCUCUUUCGGCCGGGAAGAAAUCGUGCAGGUUAAUACCCUGUAUGGAUGACGGUACCGGAAUAAGAAGCACCGGCUAACUACGUGCCAGCCGCCGCCGUAAGAC